AGGGGUAUAGCUCAGUGGAUAGAUCAUUCGCCUGAAGAUCGAGAGGUCCUCGGUUCAAACCCGGAUGCCCCUU